GGGGUUGUGGCUCAGUGGUUGAGUGCUCGCCUGGCCCAUGCGGGCCCUGGGUUCAAUCCUCAGCACCACA
rnacentral:tRNA from 1 species